ensembl:lncRNA
AGAAGGUGGCCCAAAGGCCUUUUCCUCUGGGCUGGGCGCAGCAGGAGGGAUGGUGGCCAGGAAGCCCCUUCCUCUGGACCAGGAGCAGUGGGACAGCGGCUCAGAAGCCCCUACCUCUGGGCCGGGAGUGGCGGGACCCAGUACUGUGGUCUGGUGUCCUCUCAGCCUUUGUAGUGUGGAACCAGGUGGCUGUAUAGAGGAGCGGGGUGGGUGUGGGUGUCCAGUGGAUUGCUGCCAGGGUGCAGGCUGAAUCAGCAUGUUCGGCACAACUCAUGACCUCAGUAGGGCAUCCACAGACCUGCCUGUCUGCAGCGGGCCGACCCGGCAUGUUCCGCACAACUUGUGACCUUGGUAGGGCUGGUUAUGUGUAAAUAUUAUGCCAUUUUUAUAUAAGGGGCUUGAGCACUUGUAAAUGUGGGUGUCUGUGGGGAUCCUGGAACAAAUCCCCUGUAGAUACAGAGAGACAGCUGCAACCAGAUCUUACUCUGGCUACAGAGUCUCUUCCUUUCCAUUACUCUGGAGACACUGAGGUGUUUCAAAGCCAUGUGGAAUCUUCAUCUGAAUCUAGUCAUAGUCAUCCCCUGUUUGAGCCACAUUCACUAAGAAUUCAGCUUCUCCUCUCCAAAGGGCCUUGCCCCAUGCCCGUCACUCACCUGUUUUAUAUGAUGGCUCAGCAUCUUCUCCAGGGAGUAGUAUUGGAUGGGGCUACUGAAGAGCCCACUCCAGAAUGGCCCUGAGCCACUACUGUGAGCACCGACCAGUCACAAAUACAGCUGCUGUGAUUCACCUCCAGGCAACUGUUCCCUCUUCCUGCACACACUUCCCCAAGAAACUAUCAGACAUUUGUUGAUGGCGUCAGAAGGAAAGAGGAGAGUUGGUUCAGAGCUCACUAAAUGACACCCCUAGGAACCAAAGAGGAAUGCUGCAUCAGUAGUUUCCAGCCACAGAAACACCUGGAAGCAACAGUAAUUUAGCAGGUGGGGAUCCAGGACAGGUGAGCUGAAAAAGAGCCAGGAUGUAGUCACUCUGGAGGGGAGGAUGCAGGAGGGGAGGCCAGUUUGAGAAGCCCCCAUAGCAAGAGGAACUCAAGCCUGGUCUUCACACUUCCAGAAGCACCCAAAUCAUCCAGGACCUUGGGAAGAGGUUGAGAUGGAGGUCACUGAGCAAAGUCUUAAGGAGAUAGGAAGGGCUGGAUGGAGGCCAAGAGCAAGGAUCAAGGCAGGGGCCAUAGGAGAUAAAAAUUUGGUUCAGUGCUUUCUUUAGCUCUUUCUUUGGCUUUCUUUGGUGAUGAAUGGGACUUUUAUAGUUAGUAUUUUCCCUAUUUCUAGGUCCCCUCAUUCCCACUCCCACUCUUUCCCCAGCAGAAAGCUGUUAGGAGACAACUGAUCUCAGCAUAGACAUAAGGAAGAACUCAGGCUUUGAGGUGUGUGAGAGAGUGAGGAGCUAAGCUUGCAGUGAGCAUUAGGCAGGCAGGCCUUGAUGAGGAGAGAGGUCUCAGCAAACUAGGAAGAAUGUAAAACAUCCUUUCUAGGCUACAGACAGAGCCUAGGGCAGUUCUUCUCCAAAACCUGUCGGAGUCACCUGUAGAAGCUUCCUUUGCAGCCACUUUUUGGAGAAGAGGCAUCUAGAGCUCAUUGUCUGACGUGGUACUUCAGAACCUCUGGAGUUUGAUCCCUAAAUCUCCUCUAUCACCAAGAAAACUUUCAAGAUUUGACAAGCAGGAGAACAGAUAAUGUGAUGAAGUAAUUGCAAGCAAUGAUUCCAAACUUUGGCUGCAAUUAGAAUCACUCAAAUAGUUGCUUAGACUCUGACCCUACCCAGAACAAUUAUACUAGAAGCCUCAAGCUGGAUGUGAUGGUGCAUGCUAGUAGUCUCAGCUACUUGGGAAGCUGAGGCAGGAGGAUUGCUUGAGUCCACAAGUGUGACACAACACACACACACACACACACACACACCAAAAAAAAAAAAAAAAAAAAGCUCUGUUGGCACUCAGGUAAGGUCUCCUCCUCCUUUCUCUUCCUCCCCUUCUGCCUUCUUCUCCUUCUCAUUCUCCUUCUUCUUCCUUUAACACAGUCUCUUUAUGUAAGCCCACAGACUGGCCUUAAACUCAUACUCCUCAUUCCUCAGCCUUGAGUGCUGGGAUUACAAAGUGUAUACUAGCAUGCCCAGCUCAGGUAAGAUUUUUAGGCAUAUAGGUAACUUUGUGACAUAGUCACUGGGGAGGUUUGACCCUGCUUUCUGUACUAUGGAUCCAUUCUCAGAAUGCCGGUAAGGAAAAAAUAAAGUAAUAGUGUUAUAAAGGAAAGCCAUUAUAUUAAACACAUCAAAAAAUUAAAAGAAAAUCCAGCAGCCGGGCCUGGGCGCACUCUUCUCUUCAGGCAGGCCCCAGCCAGGGGUGCCUGAGGGGUGCGCCAUCGCCCUGAGCCCUGAGCAGCAUGCGGCCCACCUGGUCUCAGAAUCCUGGGGGACAAGGGCUCCCGCAGCCCAGGACCCCGGUGCCAUGGCAGAGAGGGCAGCGGGCUGCCACCUGCUCCAAGCCCCAGCUGCGAUCUCCCAGGCCUAGGCACCAUGACACCUAUGCUGACCGUCACCUGGAC